GUGUCCUGGCAAGUGCUUCCUCCUUAUACAGACGGUUUUGGAAGACUUCCCAGAUUGUGCUUUUGCACUUUUAAGGAUGAAGGCUACAUGAGAGAGCUGGAUGGGAUAGCACAGUCUACACACAGCACUAGAUACUAUACUACAAAAGACAGUAAUCCCCAAGAGACAAGGAGCAAGAGAGAUGAACCUUCUGAUUGUCCCAGAUUUCCACCUUGAGAAAGUUUCCAGGCCAAACCAUAGCAAGAGGCAACCCAGAAGGAGUCUGGGGAUGUUUGUGAAUUGAGCAGACAGAGCAGAGGAUCUGGGAAGACCAAGGUGUUUCAGGCAUCCACUGGGAGUUUGGAAUGUAUCCCACAUGCAUGAAGGGGAACUACUGUUUUACAAGGAAUGUUCAAAGAAGUUAUUCAAGCAGAAGAAAAAUGAUACUACAUGAAAUAUAAAUGAACGACACUAGAUGAAAUCUUUUGUGGAACUACACAAAGGAAUGAAGACCAUUAGAAAUGAUGACUAGAUGAGUAUAUGAUUUUUUUAUCAUUUAAAUUACCUUAUUAUGUAAUUAUUUAAUCAGCGAUAAUAAAAUAGAGUUUAUAAUAUAAGUUUAAAAUAUAAUGUACAACAGCAAGAACACAAAAGCUGGGAAAGGAGAAAUGAGUGUAUAUUGUAUAUGGAGUAGAAUAAUAUCAUUUGAAGGUAGACUGUGUUGAGUUAAAUAUAUAAACUACACAGCCUAACAAAAUUAAAUAAAAAAGAGUUAUAAUUAAUAAACCAACAAAGGAGAAAAAAAUGGCAUGAUAAAAAUACUCAAUCUGAAAGAAACUAGAAAAAGAGAAAAAAGGAAGGAAAGGAGGGAUGAAAUAUAGUAACAAUGAAGAGGAAUGCGGUACAUGUAAAACUAUAUUAAUAAUCACAUUAAUUAUAAAUGGUCUCCACAAUUGAAAGGCAGCUAUUGUCAGACUGGAUAAAAAAUAUGACCAGAUUGGAUAAAAAAUUGGUAUAUGUUACCUAUAAAAAAUGCACUUUAAAUGUAAUGAUACAAAUAGGAUAAGAGCAAAAGGGUGGGAAAAAGGUAUGCCCAUGCCCACACUAACAAAAAGAGAGUAUGGCUACAUUAAUAUAGAACAAAGUAGAUUUUAGGCCAAAAUCAUUACCAGGAUUAAGAUGGUCAUUUCAUAACAAAAAGGAUCAAUUUAUUAUAAUCCUAAACAAUUAUGUACCUAGAAAGACUUUGAAAUACAUGCAGCAAAACUGAUACAACUGCAAAAAGAAAUAGAUAUGAUAAAUCUACAAUUAUAGAAAUAGAUUUCAAUACCUCUCUCUCAAUAAUUGAUAGAACAAGUAGACAGGAUGUCAACAAGUUGAUGGUAAUGAGGAACAACAUUAUCAUCCAACUUAACCUAAUUAAUAUUUAUAAAAUACUCCACCCAAUAACAAUGGAAUACACAUUUUUUUUCGAGUGCAUAUGAAACAUUUACCAUGAAAUUGAAUUUUUAAAAGUCUCAGGUAUCAUUUAUUGCUAAAAUGUUUUAAUCUUCACUUUUAAAACUUUAUAGCUUUUCUUUAAAACAUCAGUUUUAAGCAAUCUGCUUUAUCAUAGAAAUAAACUAUUCUAAACUACAUUUUCUUUGGAAAUUUUAAAUCUAGCAUCAAUAAAAUACAGAAAUAUAACUAUUUAUAGAGAUAUAUUUGGUAUUCUAAAUAUGAGUCUGGCCUAAAGAAAAAGGAAACGUUUGCUGCCAUGUUGAAAACAUAGAGCAUAAUUAAUAUAGACUAUUAUCACUCAGUAAAAUUACUCAGUAUGUUUGGAGAUUUCAUAUCUUUAGCAAACACUAAAGAUAGUAAUAACUUGGGGAUUAGGAGCACCAUUAAACAGAUGCCAUUUUGGCAAAUGUCCUUAAUUUGUUAGUUUUAAUCAAUGUUUUUGGUUAAAAAAAAAAAAAACUGCUUAGAAUCUCUCUCCACAUUCUUUUGUUAGAUACUGAGUGCAGUCUCCAAGAGGCCUACUCAGUAGUCCAAGAUUUAAUAGUUAUCUUCUUAUCUACCACAAAGGUUAAACAGGGAUAAAACUGGCAAUAGCUUGAAAGAACCAAGCAGAGUGGGGGAGUGAACAAAUUUAGGAUUGGGUUAGCUUUAGUGUCACAAAUCAACUUAAAAGGUAACUUGCAACCUCCUUGAAGGAGGUUCAGAGGCAAUCUCCUUCAGUAAAUUCUGCAAGAGCUGUGCAGUUCAGCCGGGAGCCAGGGCGUAUCCUGUUUUUGAUCCCUCUCUACCUCACCCAUGUUUAAAACAGGAUUGCUCUCGCGAUGCAGUAUGUGUGUAUUGGAACAGCACCCAGCUCAAGACCCAGAGAGAGACUUGGGUGUAAUAUUACAGAGCAGAGCUAACAUUACUGUCUGCCACUACACAUUGUCGGCACAGUUGUGUUCAUUAGUGUUGUCUCACUUCAUUCUUACACAAGCAUCCUCAUGUAAGUUUUAUAUUCCUAUUUAAAGACAAGGACACUGAGGCACAUAGAGAUGCUGCAAACUGUCAGUUUAAAAGUUAGGAAGUAGAAGUGACAUUUUUCAACACAGAGCUCCAGAUAACAAGUCUAAUGUUAUUCUCAUCCUUAGCUUUUUUGAGUAGUGCUAUAUUGUCUCCCACAUUUAACACUGCUCCAAAAAAGGCUUUGAAUCAACUGUCUUGGGUUUAUGUCUGCAUGUGUUAUUUACUAGUUAUUUGAUAUGGGCCUCAAUUUCUUCAUGCUAACACUGAGAAUCAUAAAAGUGCAUAAAUAAACUCACAUACCUAAAGUAUCUGUUAGAAUACAUGGACCACAGGAGACACUUAUUCCUGUAUCAGUAUAUAGACUUUUAAACCCUUGAUGUUGGCAUCUUUGUGUUAAUAAACAAAACCCUAGAAGAAGAUGUUGCCAAUUUAUUAAAGGUGUCUAAAUAUGAUAAUGAACAUAAAUACCUGCGGAGAGGAUAUCAACAUAUAAGAAACACUGAAGGUAAUUGGAGUCAUGCCUCUCGAAAUAUUUCUGAGGUUAAAUGUUAUUUAUUAGUUAAUAUAUCUUAAGAAUAUUUUUAACGUGGGCUUUUGAGUUAUGGUUGGAGUUUUAUCACAGUUGAUAAAGUAAGAACAAUUGUCCUAUCUUUGUAUAAUUGUAGAAUGUCUUGAAGAUUGAUCAUUCUUAAUCUAUAGAACUUGACCUAGAAAAUUCCUAUGAUCUUACAUUAAGUAUAGAAACACUUUCAUUUCCUUUACCCACUUUCCUAAGAGGUUUGUUGGUUGAUCAUCAGGCAAAGUGUAUGAAAUGUAUCAUAAUUAUUUGAUACUUCAGUCUCUGGGCCUUUUUCCUAUUUAUGUUGGCAAUUCUGAUUUCCUUCCUUUAAUAAAUUUAUCAUCAAUUUAUUACAAUAAUUAAUGAAGAUGUCCCAGAAAACAAAUGUCUCCCUUAAGUAGAUUUUUUAAAAUACUAAUAAACAACUUGCUGUUUUAAAUUUUCAUAACAAACUUAUCACAUGCAAAACUGUACUAUAAAUUAUAGAUACCCAUCAUUAGUAAUGUAUAGACUAUCCAAUGUCAUACAUAUUAAAUAGAGAGUAACUUAAAAUAGCCCUGGUUGCUUUGACUGUAUUGUGUAUUCACUGUAUUGCAGGCAUAUUAAAUAUCUCUGUUCAUUAAUAUUUUACUCUGAGUAUUUUUAUACAAUUAGCAAGAAACUUCUAAUUACAAUUUCUAAUUAAAUAACAUUACAACAAUAAGAAGCUAUUAGUUUUGGUCAACUGGAUUUCAAUGGGUUAACUGGGAUCUUUGGUCCUGAGACUGUUCAUAUCCUCAGACUUCACAACACUAGCAGAGGCUGGCUCUGCAAUAAGUCUCACAUUACAUGCGGAUUAGAUUUGUAGAAAUCCUGUAACUCAAUAGGUACCUGCCUAUUCUCUCCUGGCGUCAGCCUGCCUGCACUGCUUUGCUCUGUAGACAUACCUGGCAUUCCACCCAUGCCUCCCCACUUAGUAAAGUGAACUGGAGUCAGCCUACCAAAACAUUGGGGUAUUGUUGUGAAGGAGAAAACCCCCUGACAGCCAAGAAAAGUGUGAAGUCAGGCUUGCAAUGCCUUGCACCUUCCUCUGAAGCAUACAUGCUACUCUUCCUAAUUUCUUUACAUCCUUAUUACAGCAAGGUUGGAGUACAGAUAUUUCCAGGUAUUUGUCAGCAUAGUGCAGUCAUAGUCCAAAGGUAAGAUGGAGUUCUGGCUGUUUUUUCUUCCUCUCUUCUCUUCUCUUCCUCCACCACCCUCACUUCCUUGACCACCAGGCUUUCCCUCCCUGCCCCUCUCUGUUUCCCCUAACAGUGUACCUUGACAAACAUGUUUACACUCAAAGGUGGGAAAACAAAACCAAGCACCAAGCACAACAAAAAACAGGCUUGGCACCAAAUCCUAGAGUACUCAGUGGACUGAUUUCUGGGAGCUGUGCCAAACGCGAUAAGCACUGCUAUUUUAACACAUCUCUAGUGCUCAGCACAAAUCAUUCAUUAAAUAAUUAGCAUGUUACCUUGUUAAGAAUCUUUAAAACUAAGGUGAGAUUUUCAUUCAGGAAGCACAUCAGAUUGUUUAGCAUCUUUUUCUAAUUAAGCAUUAAUCCCUCCCAGGAAGAAUGAGUCACUCAAGCAAGUGAACUUUCAAAGAUAAGGGAUUUCUCUUUUGUAAACUGCAAUUAACAGCUUUUAACAGCCAGCAUUAAUCCGGUUUUCCCAACAGUUGAAAUGAUUCUGAUGAUUUUUACUUCUUGCUCCUUAUGCAGCUGACCAAACUCAAGAAAUCGAGACAUUUAUGACAAAUAUGGAAAUGAGAUGAGCAGAAAAAAAAACCCAAACAAAACAAAAAAAA